GGAGGGAUGCGCGGAACUGGUAACGCACCGCUCUCGAAAAGCGGCGCCCGCAAGGGCUUGUGGGUUCGAGUCCCACUCCCUCCGCCA
rnacentral:tRNA from 1 species